AUACUUACCUGGCGUAGGGAUACCGUGAUCAUGCACUGUCAUGCAGGCGGUUCCCCCAGGGUGAGGCUGUUCCAUAGCACUGCGGAGUGGUUGACCCUUGCGAUUAUUUUAAUUUUUUUAUAAGUUUCACUUCUACCGUGUGUGACUUGCACACA
rnacentral:snRNA from 9 species